AACGAACGCUGGCGGCAUGCCUAACACAUGCAAGUCGAACGGGAUCCUAGCUUGCUAGGUGAGAGUGGCGGACGGGUGAGUAACACGUGGGAAUCUGCCUUUUUGGUUCGGGAUAACCGCGGGAAACUGCGGCUAAUACCGAAUGCCCUCGAGAGAGGAAAGAUUUAUCGCCAGAAGAGGAGCCCGCGUCCGAUUAGGUAGUUGGUGGGGUAAAGGCCUACCAAGCCGACGAUCGGUAGCUGGUCUGAGAGGAUGAUCAGCCACACUGGGACUGAGAUACGGCCCAGACUCCUACGGGA
rnacentral:rRNA from 1 species